rnacentral:rRNA from 1 species
UACAGAGGUCUCAAGCGUUGUUCGGAUUCAUUGGGCGUAAAGGGUGCGUAGGCGGCGCGGUAAGUCGGGUGUGAAAUCUUGGAGCUUAACUCCGAAACUGCAUUCGAUACUGCCGUGCUUGAGGACUGGAGAGGAGACUGGAAUUUACGGUGUAGCGGUGAAAUGCGUAGAUAUCUGGAGGAACACCGGUGGCGAAGGCGGCGUCCUGGACCAACACUGACACUGAUGAGCGAAAGCCAGGGGAGCAAACGGG